AACGGCCAUACCAUGCUGAAUAUACCGGUUUUCAGAUCACUGAAGUCAAGCAUCAUUAAGUGGUCAGUACUUGGGUGGUGACCACCUGGGAACACCUGCGUGCCGU